AAUCAACGCUGGCGGCGUGCCUCAGACAUGCAAGUCGAACGCGAAAGGUUCCUUCGGGAACCGAGUAGAGUGGCGCACGGGUGAGUAACACGUAGGUAAUUUGCCUUUGGGUGGGGAAUAACAGCCGGAAACGGCUGCUAAUACCGCAUAAUGCAGCGGCUCGACAUCGAGACAGUUGUUAAAGCGGGGGAUCGCAAGACCUCGCGCCUAAAGAGAAGCCUGCGGCAGAUUAGCUAGUUGGUAGGGUAAUGGCCUACCAAGGCGACGAUCUGUAACCGGCCUGAGAGGGCGGUCGGUCACACUGACACUGACAUACGGGUCAGACUCCUACGGGAGGCAGCAGUCGGGAAUUUUGGGCAAUGGGCGAAAGCCUGACCCAGCAACGCCGCGUGAAGGAUGAAAUCCCUCGGGAUGUAAACUUCGCAAGAAUGGGAAGAA
rnacentral:rRNA from 1 species